UGGGGAAUAUUGGACAAUGGGCGCAAGCCUGAUCCAGCAAUACCGCGUGGGUGAUGAAGGUCUUCGGAUUGUAAAGCCCUUUUAGUAGAGAAGAUAAUGACGGUAUCUACAGAAAAAGCACCGGCAAACUUCGUGCCAGCAGCCGCGGUAAUACGAAGGGUGCUAGCGUUGUUCGGAAUCACUGGGCGUAAAGGGUACGUAGGCGGUUUGGUAAGUCGAUUGUGAAAGCCCCAGGCUCAACCUGGGAACUGCAAUCGAAACUACUUUACUUGAGUUUGGUAGGGGAUGGUGGAAUUCCUAGUGUAGGGGUGAAAUCCGUAGAGAUUAGGAAGAACACCAGUGGCGAAGGCGACCAUCUAUGCCAAUACUGACGCUGAGGUACGAAAGCGUGGGGAGCAAACAGG
rnacentral:rRNA from 1 species